AUUGAACGCUGGCGGCAGGCCUAACACAUGCAAGUCGAGCGGAGCGGCGGACGGGUGAGUAAGGCCUAGGAAUGUGCCUGGUAGUGGGGGAUAACGACCGGAAACGGGCGCUAAUACCGCAUAAUUUCAGAUGGGCCUAGGGCGGAUGAGCUAGUUGGUGGGGUAAAGGCCUACCAAGGGGACGAUCCGUAACUGGUCUGAGAGGAUGAUCAGCCACACUGGAACUGAGACACGGUCCAGACUCCUACGGGAGGAAGCAGUGGGGAAUCGUGCACAAUGGGCGAAAGCCUGAUCCAGCCAUGCCGCGUGUGUGAAGAAGGUCUUCGGAUUGUAAAGCACUUUAAGUUGGGAGGCGGUACCAACAGAAGAAGCACCGGCUAACUUCGUGCCAGCAGCCGCGGUAAUUC
rnacentral:rRNA from 1 species